AUGGAGCCCGCGGCGAUGGACCGCAUCGCCACCCAGCUCUCCGUCGUCGACGGCCUCUACUUCCCCACGACCUUCCUCCGCACCUCGCCACCGCCGCCGGCGUGCAAGUCGGCCCUGCUCGACUUCCUCUCCCGCGACGCCCUGCUCUUCCUCGAGGGUUUAGGACCUUGGCUUGCGCCCCCAUCGUCGCCGGAUGGCAUUGUUUGGAUGCUGUCGUGA
rnacentral:rRNA from 1 species